rnacentral:rRNA from 1 species
CACGUAGUUAGCCGUGACUUCCUCGCCGGGUACCAUCACUCAGAAAGCUUUCCACUCUUUCUGCCUUUUGUCCCCGGCAACAGAGCUUUACGAUCCGAAGACCUUCCUCGCUCACGCGGCAUUGCUCGUUCAGGGUUCCCCCCAUUGACGAAAAUUCCCUACUGCUGCCUCCCGCAGGAGUCCGGGCCGUGUCUCAGUCCCAGUGUGGCCGUCCGCCCUCUCAGGCCGGCUAUGCAUCGUCGCCUUGGUGAGCCGUUACCUCUCCAACCAGCUAAUGCACCGCAGGUCCAUCUGCAUGCGGGACUCUUGUCCCCUUUCCAAAAGAAGAUGCCUCCUCUUUGCUCAUCCGGUAUCAGCUUCCGUUUCCAGAAGUUCUCCCGCUCAUGCAGGCAGGUUCCCUACGUGUUACUCACCCGUUCGCCACUCAUAUCCGAAGAUAUCCGUUCGACUUGCAUGUAUUAGGCAUGCCGCCAGCGUUUCAUCCUGAGCCAGGUA